rnacentral:rRNA from 1 species
GACGAACGCUGGCGGCGUGCUUAACACAUGCAAGUCGAACGGAAAGGCCCUGCUUUUGUGGGGUGCUCGAGUGGCGAACGGGUGAGUAACACGUGAGUAACCUGCCCUUGACUUUGGGAUAACUUCAGGAAACUGGGGCUAAUACCGGAUAGGAGCUCCUGCUGCAUGGUGGGGGUUGGAAAGUUUCGGCGGUUGGGGAUGGACUCGCGGCUUAUCAGCUUGUUGGUGGGGUAGUGGCUUACCAAGGCUUUGACGGGUAGCCGGCCUGAGAGGGUGACCGGCCAGAUGGGGGAGGAGAGACGCACGAGACACCUACGGGGGGGAGGAGGGGGGAAGGAAGAAUGGAGGGUGGGAGCCAGAUUGAUCAACGCCUGGGGCGUGAGGGAGGCAUGCGGGAUGGAAACCGAUUUCGCUUGUGAGGGAGGAUAAGGAGAGGAAAGGGAUAAAAAAGCACGGGCAAAUUAGGG